rnacentral:rRNA from 1 species
UGGUAGUNCACGCCGUAAACGAUGAGUGCUAGGUGUUAGGCCCUUUCCGGGGCUUAGUGCCGGAGCUAACGCUAUAAGCACUCCGCCUGGGGAGUACGACCGCAAGGUUGAAACUCAAAGGAAUUGACGGGGGCCCGCACAAGCGGUGGAGCAUGUGGUUUAAUUCGAAGCAACGCGAAGAACCUUACCAGGUCUUGACAUCCCGAUGCUAUUCUUAGAGAUAGGAAGUUACUUCGGUACAUCGGAGACAGGUGGUGCAUGGUUGUCGUCAGCUCGUGUCGUGAGAUGUUGGGUUANNNNNNNCAACGAGCGCAACCCUUAUUGUUAGUUGCCAUCAUUAAGUUGGGCACUCUAGCGAGACUGCCGGUAAUAAACCGGAGGAAGGUGGGGAUGACGUCAAAUCAUCAUGCCCCUUAUGACCUGGGCUACACACGUGCUACAAUGGUCGGUACAACGAGUUGCGAGCCGGUGACGGCAAGCUAAUCUCUGAAAGCCGAUCUCAGUUCGGAUUGGAGGCUGCAACUCGCCUCCAUGAAGUCGGAAUCGCUAGUAAUCGCGGAUCAGCACGCCGCGGUGAAUACGUUCCCGGGCCU